rnacentral:rRNA from 1 species
AGAGUUUGAUCAUGGCUCAGGAUGAACGCUGGCUGUGUGCCUAAUACAUGCAUGUUGAACGAAGCUAAAAGUGCUUGCACUUUAAGACUUAGUAGCGAAUGGGUGAGUAACACGUACUUAACCUACCCCCAAGUUUGGGAUAACGUUUGGAAACGAACGCUAAUACCGAAUACGUAUUUUUAUCGCAUGAUAGAAAUAUAAAAGGAGCUUCGGCUUCGCUAAGGGAUGGGAGUGCGCUACAUUAGUUAGUUGGUAGGGUAAUGGCCUACCAAGACUAUGAUGUAUAGCGGGGCCGAGAGGCUGAUCCGCCACACUGGGACUGAGAUACGGCCCAGACUCCUACGGGAGGCAGCAGUAGGGAAUUUUCCACAAUGAACGAAAGUUUGAUGGAGCGACACAGCGUGCAGGAUGAAGGUCUUCGGAUCGUAAACUGCUGUUAUAAGGGAAGAAAAACUUUAGUAGGUAAUGACUAGAACUUGACGGUACCUUAUCAGAAAGCGACGGCUAACUAUGUGCCAGCAGCCGCGGUAAU